UUAUCUCAAAAUUUUUCCCAAGAUUCGCGAUUUUGACAUGGCAAAAAAACCCUCCACAGUGACAACAAACACACGGAUAAUACAAAUCAUCCUGAUCUCCUAAAUUUUGCUGAUUCAGGAGCAAACUACGAUGCCGAGUCACCUCUCGGUAAGAAAGUAAUGCUACCCAAGUCAUCCGAUAUUAAGUUGGAGGAAGCAACUCGAAAGGACAUACCUGGAUCUUCCAAGAACACUUCCGAAAAAAAGGAUGCUGACCGAAGAAUUCAGUAAACUGGACAAUGAUCGGGAUGGAUUAGUUAAUUUCGGGUACGAAGAAUUUAUAAAUGUGGAAAUUUAGCAUUUUGUAAAACGGAAGGAAAUGCCAUCUUCAUAGCCGC